GUGGGGAAUAUUGGACAAUGGGCGAAAGCCUGAUCCAGCAAUGCCGCGUGAGUGAUGAAGGCCUUAGGGUUGUAAAGCUCUUUUACCAGGGAUGAUAAUGACAGUACCUGGAGAAUAAGCUCCGGCUAACUCCGUGCCAGCAGCCGCGGUAAUACGGAGGGAGCUAGCGUUGUUCGGAAUUACUGGGCGUAAAGCGCACGUAGGCGGCUACUCAAGUCAGAGGUGAAAGCCCGGGGCUCAACCCCGGAACUGCCUUUGAAACUAGGUAGCUAGAAUCUUGGAGAGGUCAGUGGAAUUCCGAGUGUAGAGGUGAAAUUCGUAGAUAUUCGGAAGAACACCAGUGGCGAAGGCGACUGACUGGACAAGUAUUGACGCUGAGGUGCGAAAGCGUGGGGAGCAAACAGGAUUAGAAACCCCUGUAGUCC
rnacentral:rRNA from 1 species